ensembl:lncRNA
CGGGGGGCGUCCUGGCGCGGCUUCUUACGACAGCAGGAAACUGGACUCGGGGCCCGCACGCAGUCCCGGCUCGAAGCGCCCCAUGCGCCCCGCGGGGACCCGCAGGCAGGGCUGGCGGCUCCCUACGGCUGCUACCCUCGCGCCCUCUUCGCGCCUCCCUCCCUGCGGCCCGCCUCGCAGUGCACUCGCGCCGGCCUCGGCUCGCUGCAGCCGCCUCCGGGUGGGCGGAGGGAGCAGCGGCGCCUAGGCCGGCGGCGCCCCCUACCGGGCUCGUGCCCCCCGCCGGCCUGCGGGAGACCAAGCUUUGGGGUUCCCGCAGAGGCCGGGAAGCGGCGGGCGGCCGUGGACCAAGGCUGGGACGGCAGCGCCACCCUCUGGGCCAGGGACCCCGGGACGUCUAAGGCUCUGGGAACACCUUCUUGCCUUCCUGUAAGAUUUGUCAGCCUGACUAGUGAAAGUUGCCCCACCUUGAUCUAGGCCAGUGUUGGAGCAGUAAUUAAUGAAGUUGUAUUGCAAUAAUGCAGAUUUACAGAGUGACUGGCAGAUUCAGCUUCAGAAGAGUUGUCUUGGGUUGUUUUUACCGUAGACACAAAUGCAGGCUCCUGAUGUUUGGUAUGAUCAAUAUCAAACUGCCUGACAAACAUCAAAAACGGUGGACUUGUCUCUAAGGACCAAUGGUCAGGGGAGGGGCAGUAUUAAUUAAGCAACCGUGGCUUUGGCUUGAAGGGUAGUCUGUAGUGCAGAGGAUACAGUUAGUUUUUACAGCUGACCCCUAGUAUACGGAAGAACCACGUACAUCCAAGGUUUCUGGACAGGGGCUAAGACAAUAGUCGUUUGUUCACUUAUUUUGGGGGAUUUCGGACCAAACAUACUCUGUACCUGCCUUUUUACUAUAUAUCCCCCGUCGGUGUGGUGGGAGACUAAGCCUAUGUCCCACAGAGGAAAUGAAUGGAGAGUUUACUAGUUUCAGACCAAGUCAACAGUCAACACGAAAAUGUAAGAGGAAAAAAAAAAACUGACCCUGGAAAUUAAUUGUCUGGGUUAGCCAUCCUGACAUAUCCUAAUGUAUUGCAAAGACAUCCUGUCUCAGUUAAUUAAUCUCAAAAACAGAAGAACUAAUUCUUGCCCAGAAAUCUCUCAGAGUUGCUGUGAAGAUCAAGCAAGAUUAUGUAUGGGGACAGCACCCUAAAUUGUAAAGUGCUUUGCCAAGGUCAGGUGUCAUUAUUGGAGUGACUAAAUAAAUUGGGCCAUUACGAAUAUCACCCUUUGUCUCGUCUUGUGAAGAGACAAAGUAAACGGAUUGCUGUUAGCAGAGAGUUAAAUAAGGUUGUCAUAGGAUUUGAAAUGAAAGUAAUGAUACACUUUUCCCUUAAGAUAGCCUUCUACCCAUCGCCUGUCACCCAGUCUAGAACUGUGAUUUCUUAAACCCUAGCUCCGUCUAGUGGUUCUUUGUUCUAUUACAAAUGAGAUAACACAGUGGUUGAAGAGAACUUGACUCUCAAAUGCAUUUGGUGCUGAGCUGAGCCAGUUUGGUGCCUAUCGACUUCAUUUAAAUAAGUUCAUUUAAAUAAGGUUUUUAAAGUUGUGUUAUCGCACAAACAUGCCAAGGGAAGAUUUUUCAUGACAAUAUUAAAAACCCAUCAAGAAACUUCAUAAUCCUGCUUGUGAAAGGAAGAUAAAGAAAAUAAUGCGGAGGGGAAAACUAUCAUAGAGUUAAUAAAAUUUGUAAGGUUUUAAUGAGCUCUCAUGUUCUAUGGCUUAGAUAAAAAAGGAAACAGAUGAUAUUAGUUUGAGAUGAGAGAUGUUAAAGCCUUGGUGGGCUACCUGAUAAGAAAAAGAAAUGAGAUGUCUUCUAUUUUAAAUGUACUACUGAAAUGGAUCUCAACAUGGACUGUGCGUGCGUGUGUGUGUGCAUGCGUGUGUGUGUGUGUAUUGGCACCUUUUUGAAUACUACAAUUUUUAGUGGCACACUUGAAGAAAUUAAAAGACCUAAAACAAAGUAGUGCUACUACAAAGUGGUCCUUUUUUUAAAGUUUUAAACCUCCAGAUUGUGUGCCAUAACACGAUCACAUUAUUUCAUAUCUUUUUGCUUAAAUAAGACUGGAUGCUUAUAAAAGCACUGUUAUACUGUGUUAUGGCACUUUAAGUACUUGCUUAGAAAUGAUCAUUUCUUCAUUGUGUGCUUCUUAAGAGUGUUUCUGGUCAGUCACCUUUCCUUUCAAGGUCUUCCUUAUUCAAACUAACUAAGGUGGCUUUUAGGUCAAGAUCACAGUCAUUACCUGGGGAUGCAAGAGGAAGAUAAUUACUACGUGAACAGCACAAUGAACUGUUUUUGCCAUAAAAAAAAAAAAAAAGCUGGAGGUGUUCAUGAUUUUUAAAUAAAAUAAAUAUUUAAGAGUUAAAUUGUUCAAAAGUCAGCAAUCUUUCAUCACAAUGUGAGUGUCUCACGGUGUCUGUGGAGGUACAUCCAGUUUUUUCCCCCAUUCCCUUGGUUCACUCACAACACAUCUGACUGUAGGAAUAGAAUCACAUUCUGCCCUGUCCACAGCCACAUCCUCAAUAUUCCAGUAAACACUCCCUCUUUCUUGGUGCUAGUUGACAGGAUACUGUGCUUCUUACCUUUUACUUGCCACCUUCUGUUCCCUCCUUAACAUUGAGUUCCAGCACCUGCUCAACUUAAAAGUUCUGUCUGAGAUCUACCUCUGUAAUAUAGGAAUCUCAGUUAGAGUAAAUUUUAAUCUUACAGAUUUGUCGAAACUUGGUUACAGAUUCGUGAAGGAUUCACAAUAUACCAGUGUACCUUGGAAAACAGUUGAGAACGCUUAUAUUUUUGCAUAACAUACAAAGCCACUCCUUCAUUUAAAGGGACAACUUUAGAUAACUGUGACCACAGUUCCAAUUCAACUGCCUCUAUCCAUCUGUGCGGAAAAUGUAGCCCAUUUUCUGCAGGGAUACAGAGUUCAGAUACAGAGUUGGAAAUAAAUUCUAAAAUGUGAGUCUACUGCUUCUAGGCUUCUUUCCUCCUCAGGGGCUCUCCUCCUGUAUCCCUCAGCAUUUUGUUUACCCCUUAGCUAUAAGAUGUGUUUAUGUCUGUAUCAUGCUGUAGAUUAUGUCUGUAUCACGCUCCUUGAAACAAAGACACACUAUAACUCUCUUUGUUCUCAUAAAUGCUAUUAAGCUACACUGUAGUUAGUGAGUUCACAAAUGUAAUAGAUAGUGAUGGAGGCAUAAUGCUAUAGGGAGAAUAUGGAGAUGGUGGUCUGCAGAUUGGCUGGGAAAAGAGUCCAGGAGAUGACAGAAAAAUCUCUCCCCGCAACAACAACAACAACAACAAGUCUAUCCGCCGGGCGCGGUGGCUCAAGCCUGUAAUCCCAGCACUUUGGGAGGCCGAGACGGGUGGAUCACGAGGUCAGGAGAUCAAGACCAUCCUGGCUAACACGGUGAAACCCUGUCUCUACUAAAAAAAUACAAAAAAACUAGCCGGGCGAGGUGGCGGUCGCCUGUAGUCCCAACUACUCGGGAGGCUGAGGCAAGAGAAUGGCGUAAACCCGGGAGGCGGAGCUUGCAGUGAGCCGAGGUUGCGCCACUGCACUCCAGCCUGGGCGACAGAGCGAGACUCCGUCUCAAAAAAAAAACAAAAAAACAAAAAAACAAAAAAACAAGUCUACCAAACGAAGAGGAUGACAAUGCCACACAUCAGAAGAGGCAAAUGGUAUCAUAUAAAGACAGGAACUUCAUUUUUCCUUCCAUUAAGACUACAAGGUGUGGGUGACAGAUUUUCGAAAGCCAGGAACCUCUCUAACGUAGGAAAGUUGCCUGUGAGUCCUAGAAGGUCUGAGAGCUGGAAGCGGCAGGCCACAGAUGCAUCAUCAUGAGCAACUUAAGUGGAGGAGAAAUUGAACAUAGAGGCGACUUCACUAUUCAGCCACCAUGAGUGAAAUAUCUAAAUAUCUAAAAGUGGAGAGGAAUUUGCAGCAUGAGAAAUUUCAGCUUCUAUAGCCCAAUGACUGACUGACUUCUUGUAUGUAAUUUCUGUUAACAAAACUUCUAUUUGAAUCAACUUAUAGGAAGAAUGUUGGGCAGACUAAAUACAUUGAAAAAAAUGAUUCCCUACUAUAGAUGUAUCUCCCCAGUGUUGGGAGAAGGGACAGAAUCUGCUUCAAAGGAAAUACUAGUCCCUGAAUUCGAUUGACUAGGGGCAAAGAAUGCACUGAUGUGGGUCUACACUUACCCAUGGCUAACCCAACAGACAGUGUGAAGCGUUUGUAGAAUUGAGUUAUAUCCUUCCAAGUGCCCUAAGCUAUUCUUCCUUCUCAUUUCCUCUAAACAAAAGAGAAAAGGAUCUUUUAUCACACCCUUCCCUCAGUGGGAAAUAAUUAAAAGUCAUUUACAACAGUCUCAUUUUAUUAUAACAAACAUUUGCAUGGUGUCUAGUAUAUAGCAGACACUGGGAUAGGUUCUAAGGAUUAAAAGAUGGUUAUGACUGGCAC